GCUUUCUGUCUGAGGCGUGGGCACACAACGUCCCCAGGGAGCCUUCUCCCAUCAGCCUCGCCCUGGGGCCCGCUGUCUUCAAACACACACCCGACCCUCAGAAGGCACCCUAAGCAAGCAGCAGCCUUUCGGGGAGCGCACAGGCCACUGUACCGUCCGCUCUCCAGCCUCAGGUUUGGUGGCUCCCUUCCGGCUCCAGUGGAACCUGCCCUUGCAGAGCCCUGAACACACAGCAUGGCUUCAGACAGCCUCACCUUGUACCUGCUACCGGCUCUCCUUGGACUGUCACUCUACCCACCCCUACUCCACGAUUGCGUGAUAAACCCCUAUUCAGCCUUCAGAGCCCGCUUUACAGAGUCCCACUGUGUAGUCCAGGCUGGCCACAGACUAGAGGCGCUCCUCCUGCUUCUCUGAGGCUUCGAUCACAGACCCUGGGGAGAGGUGUGACAUCAACACCAGACAGAAGUGUUGGGAAGCAGGAUUUGUAUUACCAAGGUGUCCCUCUUUCUCCAUCUUGCUCUGAAGAAUGAACAAAAGCUUGAGGUGUUUGUUUCAGAAGAUAAACUGCAGCAUGCAGACCCCCAAUAUUCACCCAGACCAUAUGUACCUUUAGCCAUACAUGUCCCAUUCCAGAUAAUGCCUUGGCAAAGCACUUCUUGUCCUGGGUAAGGAGUACGGCUCGGCCUGUCCCAGGUCUACAGACACGGCUCAUCUCUCUCAGGCAAGCUGGGUAAAG
rnacentral:lncRNA from 1 species